UAUACAAGGUGCUGCAUGGUUGUCGUCAGCUCGUGCCGUGAGGUGUCGGGUUAAGUCCCAUUAACGAGCGCAACCCCUAUCAUUACGUUGCCAUCAGGUCAAGCUGGGGACUCUAAUGAAACUGCCUACGCAAGUAGUGAGGAAGGUGGGGAUGACGUCGAAAUCAGCACGGCCCUUACGUCCAGGGCUACACACGUGCUACAAUGGCCGGUACAGAGCGCAGCGAGGCCGCGAGGCGGAGCGAAUCGCUUAAAGCCGGUCCCAGUACGGAUUGGAGUCUGCAACCCGACUCCAUGAAGUUGGAAUCGCUAGUAAUCGCGCAUCAGCCAUGGCGCGGUGAAUACGUUCCCGGGCCUU
rnacentral:rRNA from 1 species